CCUACGGGAGGCAGCAGUGAGGAAUAUUGGUCAAUGGCCGAGAGGCUGAACCAGCCAAGUCGCGUGAGGGAAGACGGCCCUACGGGUUGUAAACCUCUUUUGUCGGGGAGCAAAGCGAGUCACGUGUGACUCUUUGAGUGUACCCGACGAAAAAGCAUCGGCUAACUCCGUGCCAGCAGCCGCGGUAAUACGGAGGAUGCGAGCGUUAUCCGGAUUUAUUGGGUUUAAAGGGUGCGUAGGCGGAGGUGCAAGUCAGCGGUCAAAUUGCGGGGCUCAACCCCGUACUGCCGUUGAAACUGCAAGCCUUGAGUGCGCGAGAGGUAUGCGGAAUGCGUGGUGUAGCGGUGAAAUGCAUAGAUAUCACGCAGAACUCCGAUUGCGAAGGCAGCAUACCGGAGCGCAACUGACGCUCAUGCACGAAAGCGUGGGUAUCGAACAGGAUUAGAUACCCGUGUAGUC
rnacentral:rRNA from 1 species